rnacentral:rRNA from 1 species
CUUGGUCAUUUAGAGGAAGUAAAAGUCGUAACAAGGUUUCCGUAGCCUAUGAAGCCUGACACGGCGACUUGAAAAACAAUCGUGGAGUCUACAUUGAACAAAGUUCAAGUGGGCGAUGCCAAAGAAGUGCUGGGAAUCUUUAACAAGAACGCCAGCAGCCAUCGGGGCCCGUUCAUCCGGGCUGAUGGUUCACAGAUCAAGUAGUGGCAGUCAUGGGCCAGCAGUCACCGAACUGCUUGCGCUUGUGAUGAAGAUAUGACCGGUCAGUGGCUGAACAAGCCAGCUGAGAAAACGUUCCGUAGGUGAACCUGCGGAAGGAUCAUUA